GCAGGUAGCAGAACGUUCUAUAUAAUAGAAUUGCUAAUGCUGGUAUAAGUAACUAUGUAAAAAUACAGCUAAGCUAAAGGUUUUGCGCAACAGUGAAACGAUAAAGUAA
rnacentral:rRNA from 1 species